UGCCAAGAGCUGGUGGUGACAUUCCGGCAGCUUCUCCUGGAUCCCGCUGUCUUGGGCCAAUUGUUUAACUUGUCAGCAACGUCAACAUCUACCCAGAUCAGACUGAUCCCACCUCUUUCCUAGAAGAGCCCCGAUAGAAGCAUAAGAGAGGAGACGCAGCAACGUGAAGCACUACUCGAUCUUUUACUAUGUGUAGUUCGAAUUUUCCUCUUUGGGGAACAAAGCAGAGUUUUCUACUGGGUCAAGACAAGAGGAGAUUAUGGACUUCCACAUACUACAAUAAAAGUGACAUUUUGCUAAACACUCUUACAGUUGGUUUUUGUAUAUACUUUCUGUGGAAGUUGUAAAUCACCACUGGUUCUUUUAAUCAAAAUAUUUCCAUCCAAUAUGAAGCAUUUCUUGUGAUUC